rnacentral:rRNA from 1 species
UACAGAGGGGGCAAGCGUUAUUCGGAAUUAUUGGGCGUAAAGGGCGCGUAGGCGGCCUGACAAGUGGAAGGUGAAAUCCCUCGGCUUAACCGAGGAACUGCCCUCCAAACUGUUUGGCUUGAGACCGGGAGAGGUGAGUGGAAUUCCCAGUGUAGCGGUGAAAUGCGUAGAUAUUGGGAAGAACACCGGUGGCGAAGGCGGCGAGCUGGUCCAUUACUGACGCUGAGGCGCGACAGCGUGGGGAGCAAACAGGAUUAGAAACCCGGUACGG